UAAGUUAGAAAGGGCGCACGGUGGAUGCCUUGACACUAGGAGUCGAUGAAGGACGGGACUAACGCCGAUAUGCUUCGGGGAGCUGUAAGUAAGCUUUGAUCCGAAGAUUUCCGAAUGGGGAAACCCACCAUACGUAAUGGUAUGGUAUCCUUAUCUGAAUACAUAGGAUAAGGAAGACAGACCCAGGGAACUGAAACAUCUAAGUACCUGGAGGAAGAGAAAGCAAAUGCGAUUUCCUGAGUAGCGGCGAGCGAAACGGAACAUAGCCCAAACCAAGAGGCUUGCCUCUUGGGGUUGUAGGACAUUCUAUACGGAGUUACAAAGGAACGAGGUAGACGAAGCGACCUGGAAAGGUCCGUCGUAGAGGGUAACAACCCCGUAGUCGAAACUUCGUUCUCUCUUGAAUGUAUCCUGAGUACGGCGGAACACGUGAAAUUCCGUCGGAAUCUGGGAGGACCAUCUCCCAAGGCUAAAUACUCCCUAGUGAUCGAUAGUGAACCAGUACCGUGAGGGAAAGGUGAAAAGCACCCCGGAAGGGGAGUGAAAGAGAUCCUGAAACCGUGUGCCUACAAAUAGUCAGAGCCCGUUAACGGGUGAUGGCGUGCCUUUUGUAGAAUGAACCGGCGAGUUACGAUCCCGUGCGAGGUUAAGCUGAAGAGGCGGAGCCGCAGCGAAAGCGAGUCUGAAUAGGGCGUUUAGUACGUGGUCGUAGACCCGAAACCAGGUGAUCUACCCAUGUCCAGGGUGAAGUUCAGGUAACACUGAAUGGAGGCCCGAACCCACGCACGUUGAAAAGUGCGGGGAUGAGGUGUGGGUAGCGGAGAAAUUCCAAUCGAACCUGGAGAUAGCUGGUUCUCCCCGAAAUAGCUUUAGGGCUAGCCUUAAGUGUAAGAGUCUUGGAGGUAGAGCACUGAUUGGACUAGGGGUCCUCAUCGGAUUACCGAAUUCAGUCAAACUCCGAAUGCCAAUGACUUAUCCUUAGGAGUCAGACUGCGAGUGAUAAGAUCCGUAGUCAAAAGGGAAACAGCCCAGACCGCCAGCUAAGGUCCCAAAGUGUGUAUUAAGUGGAAAAGGAUGUGGAGUUGCUUAGACAACUAGGAUGUUGGCUUAGAAGCAGCCACCAUUUAAAGAGUGCGUAAUAGCUCACUAGUCGAGUGACUCUGCGCCGAAAAUGUACCGGGGCUAAAUACACCACCGAAGCUGCGGAUUGAUACCAAUGGUAUCAGUGGUAGGGGAGCGUUCUAAGGACAGUGAAGUCAGACCGGAAGGACUGGUGGAGUGCUUAGAAGUGAGAAUGCCGGUAUGAGUAGCGAAAGACGGGUGAGAAUCCCGUCCACCGAAUGCCUAAGGUUUCCUGAGGAAGGCUCGUCCGCUCAGGGUUAGUCAGGACCUAAGCCGAGGCCGACAGGCGUAGGCGAUGGACAACAGGUUGAUAUUCCUGUACCACCUCUUUAUCGUUUGAGCAAUGGAGGGACGCAGAAGGAUAGAAGAAGCGUGCGAUUGGUUGUGCACGUCCAAGCAGUUAGGCUGAUAAGUAGGCAAAUCCGCUUAUCGUGAAGGCUGAGCUGUGAUGGGGAAGCUCCUUAUGGAGCGAAGUCUUUGAUUCCCCGCUGCCAAGAAAAGCUUCUAGCGAGAUAAAAGGUGCCUGUACCGCAAACCGACACAGGUAGGCGAGGAGAGAAUCCUAAGGUGUGCGAGAGAACUCUGGUUAAGGAACUCGGCAAAAUGACCCCGUAACUUCGGGAGAAGGGGUGCUUUCUUAACGGAAAGCCGCAGUGAAUAGGCCCAAGCGACUGUUUAGCAAAAACACAGCUCUCUGCGAAGCCGUAAGGCGAAGUAUAGGGGGUGACACCUGCCCGGUGCUGGAAGGUUAAGGAGAGGGGUUAGCGUAAGCGAAGCUCUGAACUGAAGCCCCAGUAAACGGCGGCCGUAACUAUAACGGUCCUAAGGUAGCGAAAUUCCUUGUCGGGUAAGUUCCGACCCGCACGAAAGGUGUAACGAUUUGGGCACUGUCUCAACCAGAGACUCGGUGAAAUUAUAGUACCUGUGAAGAUGCAGGUUACCCGCGACAGGACGGAAAGACCCCGUGGAGCUUUACUGUAGCCUGAUAUUGAAUUUUGGUACAGUUUGUACAGGAUAGGCGGGAGCCUUUGAAACCGGAGCGCUAGCUUCGGUGGAGGCGCUGGUGGGAUACCGCCCUGACUGUAUUGAAAUUCUAACCUACGGGUCUUAUCGACCCGGAAGACAGUGUCAGGUGGGCAGUUUGACUGGGGCGGUCGCCUCCUAAAGUGUAACGGAGGCGCCCAAAGGUUCCCUUAGAAUGGUUGGAAAUCAUUCGUAGAGUGCAAAGGCAUAAGGGAGCUUGACUGCGAGACCUACAAGUCGAGCAGGGACGAAAGUCGGGCUUAGUGAUCCGGUGGUUCCGCAUGGAAGGGCCAUCGCUCAACGGAUAAAAGCUACCCCGGGGAUAACAGGCUUAUCUCCCCCAAGAGUCCACAUCGACGGGGAGGUUUGGCACCUCGAUGUCGGCUCAUCGCAUCCUGGGGCUGUAGUCGGUCCCAAGGGUUGGGCUGUUCGCCCAUUAAAGCGGUACGCGAGCUGGGUUCAGAACGUCGUGAGACAGUUCGGUCCCUAUCCGUCGUGGGCGUAGGAAAUUUGAGAGGAGCUGUCCUUAGUACGAGAGGACCGGGAUGGACGCACCGCUGGUGUACCAGUUGUUCUGCCAAGGGCAUAGCUGGGUAGCUAUGUGCGGAAGGGAUAAGUGCUGAAAGCAUCUAAGCAUGAAGCCCCCCUCAAGAUGAGAUUUCCCAUAGCGUAAGCUAGUAAGAUCCCUGAAAGAUGAUCAGGUUGAUAGGUUCGAGGUGGAAGCAUGGUGACAUGUGGAGCUGACGAAUACUAAUAGAUCGAGGACUUAACCA
rnacentral:rRNA from 1 species